rnacentral:rRNA from 1 species
UUUAUUGGAGAGUUUGAUCCUGGCUCAGGAUGAACGCUGGCGGCGUGCCUAAUACAUGCAAGUCGAGCGAAUGGAUUAAGAGCUUGCUCUUAUGAAGUUAGCGGCGGACGGGUGAGUAACACGUGGGUAACCUGCCCAUAAGACU